UUUUUCUCCCGAAGACACCAUCGAGCCGUUACGGGCAGACCGGCCAUCAGGGGAGUCGGGGGGAGCAGAGCAUCAAGGGAUUCGGGAACCCAAGAAAUCUGGCUCAGGUUCAUGGACCAAACCGGUGGUGACCAGAGAGACGCCGAGAAAAAGGAGAGUUUGUAGGUUUGGCAUAAUCAUCCUUUGAUUUUGAAUUCGGUCCCCAGCAUCCAACAAAGGCUAAUCUCCCAAACGUUUGCCAAUCAGUCUGGAAGUUCCCUCAUCACUAAAUGCAGAUGAACCGAAUGUUCUGGGAUUGCAUGUUAUUGCGAGAG